rnacentral:ncRNA from 1 species
GGUCGAGGGGAGGAAUUCCCUCGGCCUGCCGGGCAGAAGUCAGCAGAGGUCGUAGUACCGAGAUGGGUAGGCAGUAGGCCGACAAGGGCUCGGGAAGGAC